GCAACCCGCCUACAUGAAGUCGGAAUUGCUAGUAAUCGCGGAUCAGCAUGCCGCGGUGAAUACGUUCCCGGGCCUUGUACACACCGCCCGUCACACCAUGGGAGUUGGUAACACCCGAAGUCAGUAGCCUAACCGCAAGGAGGGCGCUGCCGAAGGUGGGAUCGAUGACUGGGGUGAAGUCGUAACAAGGUACC
rnacentral:rRNA from 1 species